rnacentral:tmRNA from 1 species
GGGCUUGUACUGGUUUCGACGGGGGUUUUGAAGUUGUGGAAGCCAUCCGCAGAGUCCGGGACUGCGUACCAACCUGGAACUUAAAUAUAAACGCAGAAGAAAAUUACGCGUUAGCAGCCGCUUAAGGCCGCUCGUCAGUCCCACUGCACUCACACGGAGGGAGUCUGGCGUCGAUCAUGUGAGAAACCUUGCCGGUUAAGCUUUGUCCCGGCAGAUGUAUCAUGAAGCUACUGAAUCCGUAAGCCUGUCGGUGGGCGUAUGGAGGAGGGAAUGUUAAAACAGCGACUGUGAUGGGAGAUGCCGCAGUGGAUAGGCUUUCGGACGCGGGUUCGAUUCCCGCCAGGUCCA